UGGGGAAUUUUGGACAAUGGGCGCAAGCCUGAUCCAGCAAUGCCGCGUGCAGGAAGAAGGCCUUCGGGUUGUAAACUGCUUUUGUACGGAACGAAACGGUCCUGGUUAAUACCUGGGGCUAAUGACGGUACCGUAAGAAUAAGCACCGGCUAACUACGUG
rnacentral:rRNA from 1 species